rnacentral:misc_RNA from 1 species
AGAGAAAAACCAAAUUCGAUCGAAGAAGAAAGAGAGAGAUCUAUCGAAGGCGAAAAUGGCGGAAGAUUUGGUAUUGGAUACAGCCAUUAGAGACUGGGUAUUGAUUCCAUUAUCAGUGGUUAUGGUUCUAAUUGGAGUGCUUCGUUACUUUGUCUCAAAGCUUAUGAAGGGUUCUUCUCAAAUACCUGAUCCUAAAAUCGUCAAAGAAGGGCAAGUGAUAAUUAGGGCAAGGAAUUUGAGAGCUGGGGCUAAUUAUAUUCCAGCUAAAUCUUUUCGUGCAAGGAAAGCUUAUUACAGCAAUGAGGAAAAUGGAUUACUCCAUGUGCCCAAGGGCCAAGCUGCGAAUCCACAGGCACAAAUGUUCUCUGACCCAAACAUGGCUAUGGAUAUGAUGAAGAAGAAUUUGUCAAUGAUAAUCCCUCAGACUCUUACAUUUGCAUGGGUCAACUUCUUCUUCUCUGGGUUUGUAGCAGCGAAGAUACCUUUUCCAUUAACUCAGAGGUUCAGGGCCAUGUUGCAAAAUGGCAUUGAUCUAAGCACUGUUGAUGUCAGUUACGUCAGCAGUCGUUCAUGGUAUUUCCUCAAUCUGUUCGGAUUAAGGGGUUUGUUCAGCCUCAUUCUUGGAGAAGAAAAUGGUCAGCAGUUUCUGUAGAAGUUUGUGUAAUUCCUUUUUUCACAAGUAGAUGUCAAGAGUCAAGACGUGGCCAAUAAUUUCUGUUUUUAAUGUAUAUUGAGAAGUUUUAAUUCCAG